GUUCCGAGAGCGAGCGGCUGAAGGAGAGCGGGAAGGGAGGCGCCUACAACUCCCAGAGCGCCGCGCGGGAGGAGGCCCUGCCCCGGCCUGCCGGCCUGGCCACGUCCCCGCUAGGGGCCGCCGCGCCGCCUGCGGGUCUCUGCUGCUGCUGCUGCCUCGCCGCGCCGGCCCUGCUCUGCCGCCUCAGCCUACCGAGGCCAUCGGGGAGCGGGAGAUCGUCCUCGGAGGCAGCCGCUGCUCCCGCUCCAUCCCCUCGGAUCCUCUGGACUCCGGGGAUACUUUGGAGGCCGAGACACACGCGGUCCCUGCUCCCACAGAGAUUCCCGCUUGCAGGUGCUGGGAGGAGGGAGUCUGAAGGCAAAGAAGAGAAAUAGUACGAUAAUUGCUGUGGAGGAAGAAUUCUGCGGUAGAGAAAAGCCUGUUUUACACAGUGCCACCAGGCGCUGUUCCAGUCAGUCCCUGCCACAGGUCACCUCUUACCCGGGCUGCUGCGCGACGAGGACAUAAUGUACGACAGUAUCUUUGAAAGUAAACGCGGGGCAAAUCAUCCCACCUGACAAGAAACCUGCCCAGGACCGGGCAUUUCCCUGUCGGGACGCGACUGUAGUUGUGAAGAGUCCGGUUAACCGCAACCCAGAGGCUCUCAGAUGCUGCUGCCUCAGAUCUAUGGGCUAUUUGGGGGAGAUCUCUUACAGUUUGUGACCUUCUAAGUCCCCCAGACAAUGUUGCUAGACAUACUAGUUGGUCUCAUAAAUAUCUCAGCAAAACUAAGUGGAAAUCUCCAGAUUCUGAGCCAGGAAGAGGCCUAGCCCCUGUGCUCUAGGUGAGGGUCUGGUGCAACCCAUAACCGGGGGGCUGGCAGAUGGAGAGGUGACUCAUCCUGGAGGACUCCUCUGGAUUUCCUUCCAGCUCAAAUCCUACCAGUUCUAGGUGCUUAAAGUCCUCGCACAGUACUUUGUCACCUGCAACGUGUAACUCAAGCUCCUUAGCACAAUCUGGAACCCCUCCUUAGUUUGGAGAUUGUUUGUGGCUCUAGUUUCAACUGCCUCCCUUUGUGAACUGAGACUUGCCAGGCUAGUAAAUUCAGGGGAUUUGUUAGUCCCCCUUUGUCUAAAAUGUUUUUCCCCCAUGACCAGCUUUUAAAUGCUUCAAGACCUUGGACCUGUCAGGUCUGGUCUGUAUUUUAAGCAAUCCCAGGCUAGAUAGGAGUUUCAAGCCAGAGAAGGGAAUAGUUUUCCCUUCCUCAUCUUCAGCUAGUAAGCGAUUAAUUCUUGAUCUUCAUAAUAACCCUGUGAAAGUGAUAAUGUUACUAUCAACAUUCUCAGGCCAGGUGGGCGUUUCAAGCCUGCAAUCCCAACACUUUGGGAGGCCACGAUGGGAGAAUCCUUGAGGCCAGGAGGUUUGAGACCAGCCUGGGCAACAUAGACUCUGUCUCUACAAAUGGUAGAAAAAAAUCCACCAAGCAUGGUCCUGCAAGCCGGUAGUCCUAGUUGCUUGGGAGGCUGAGGUGGGCAAAUCACUUGAACCCAAGGGUUUGAGGUAACUCUGAGCUAUCUUACUAUUACACUCUAGCCUAGGUAGCAGAGUGAGACCCUGUUUCUAAAAGCAGGACAAAAACUUAUUUUGUAAAUGAAGAAACCCAAGUUACAGAGGACCCACGUGCUUUGCCAGGGUCCUACUGCCUGCCAGGAGUUAUUUGAACCCAGGCUGUCCAGUUGCAGGGAUUACAUUUGUCACCACACCCCUCAGAAAGAGCUCCUGAAGCAGGUUCCCAGUCAGUGUCUAGUGCACAGGUUAAACGGAAAUACUUAAUGCUGGACUAGGGUGAUCUUCCUAUCCUUCCAGCUGUUUCAUACUCCCUUAUCUUCUCUUUUAUUUGUUCUAGAUUUUUUUCGAGACAGGAUCGUGUUCUGUUACCCAGGCUAGAAUACAGUGGCUUGAUCAUCAUCACUCCAGCCUCAAACCCCUGGGCUCAAGUGAUCCUGCUGCCUCAGCCUCCUGAGUAGCUGGGACAACAGGGAAUGUUAAGUACCAAGAAGAAAAGAAACAGGAUGAUAUAAUAGAGUGACCUGGAGAUCAAAUGGCAAGAGAAGAGCCCUUUCAAAAGCGGUGUUGGAAGAGCAGGGGGAACAGGAUAACACUGGCACCCAAAGACUAGUAACUGGAGGUAGCUGCUGUGACAUCUGAGGCUGGAGGAGCAAAAGGAAAAAUAGUGUUUCCGGAAACUGAUUCCUGAGCCCUGAAGAGAAGCAUGCAGCUGCUUCCACCACUGUGGCCUGUCACACCACCAGAAGCCAGAGAAAGGAAUGGUUUUCUCUAACUCAUCUUCAGACUCCUGCCAGGGCUCCCUGCUGGCAGUCAGAUGACUAGAGAAUCUGGGAAGUGCAGUUUGCAUCUGUAGAACAGAAAGUUAGGAAAGGUAAGUGUGGGGCUGAAGACAGAAGAUGCCAUUCAUCGCCUCACCUAUCUUGCAGGGCUGUGUUUUUUGGGUUUUUUUGUUUGUUUUUGUUUUGUUUUGUUUUAGGCAGAAUCUCACUUUGUGGCCUUGAGUAAAGUGCCAUGGCAUCAUGAUAGCUUACAGCAACCUCAAACUCUUGGGUUCAAGCCAUCCUCUUGCCUCAGUUUUUCUAUUUUUAGUACAGAUGGCGUCUCACUCUUGCUCAGCUGGUCUAGAACUCCUGCCACAGCCACCCAGAGUGCUAGAAUUACGGGCAUGAGGCACUGCACCCAGCCUCAAUAAAUUCUUGUUUCAGAGCACAUGGUAGCCAUUUGGGAAAAGUGAAUCUUUGAAAAACAUAUCUUUAGUAUAAUAUUUCUACAUAAGAGCUUGAAAGCAUCAGAAUGAGAAUUUUAAAAAUAGGGUUUUAGGGCAGCACCCGUGCUCAGUGGGUAGGACGCCGGCCCCAUAUACCAAGGAUGGCGGGUUUGAACGUGGCCCCGGCCACACUGCAACAAAAAAAUAGCUGGGCGUUCUGGCAGGCACCUGUAGUCACAGCUACUCUUGAGGCUGAGGCAAGAGAAUCGCUUAAGCCCAAGAGUUGGAGGUUGCUGUGAGUUGUGACGUCACAGCACUCUACCAAGGGCGGUAUAGUGAGAAUCUGUCUCUUAAAAAAAAAAAGGUGUUAAUUCUGAAAGACUAUGCCGGGUGCGGUGGCUCACACCUAUAAUCCUAGCACUCUGGGAGGCUGAGGCAGAUGGAUUGCCUAAAUUUACAGGUUUGAGACCAGCCUGAGCAAGAAUAAGACCCCACCUCUGGGCGGCGCCUGUGGCUCAGUCGGUAAGGCGCCGGCCCCAUAUACCGAGGGUGGCGGGUUCAAACCCGGCCCCGGCGAACUGCAACCAAAAAAAAUAGCUGGGUGUUGUGGCGGGCGCCUGUGGUCCCAGCUACUCGGGAGUCUGAGGCAAGAGAAUCGCUUAAGCCCAGGAGUUGGAGGUUGCUGUGAGCUGUGUGAUGCCACGGCACUCUACCCAGGGCCAUAAAGUGAGACUCUGUCUCUACAAAAAAAAAAAAAAAAAAAGCAAAAAGACCCCACCUCUAAAAAUAGCUGAGUGUUGUGGCAGGCACCUGAGGUUGCUGUGAGCUAUGAUGCCAUAGCACUUUACCAAGGGUGACAAAGUGAGACUCUGUCUCAAAAAAAAAAAAAAUUCUGAAUGACUCCUCAUAUAUUCACAUGGUAUAAAAUUCAAAUUACAAAACAACAUACAAUGAAAAUAAGUUUCACCUGCUGUCUGUUUUUUUUUGUUUGUUUGUUUGUUUUAAAUCUUUUGUUUUUGUUUUUGGCCGGGGCUAGGUUUGAACCUGCCACCUCCGGCAUAUGGGACCGGCGCCCUACUCCUUGAGCCACAGGUGCCGCCUUGUUUGUUUGUUUUUGAGACAGAGUCUCACUGUGUUGACCCUGGUAGAGUGCUAUGGCGUCACAGUCCACAGCAACCUCAAACCGCUGGGCUUAAGGGAUUCUCUUGUCUAAGCCUCCUGAGUAGCUGGGACUACAGGCACCCACCACAACGUCUGGCUAUUUUUAGAGAUGAGGUCUUGCUGUUGCUCAGGCUGGUCUGGAACCUGUGAGCUCAGGCAAUCCAUCUGCCUCGGGCUCCCAGAGUGCUAGGAUUACAGACAUGAGCCGCCGUGUCCGGUGUCUCACCCGCUGUCUUCUCAAGACAUGAUUAUUUCCAUCCACGUGGGAGCCUUCUGUAGGCUCCUUUCUUAUAUAUUUACAAAUAGUUCAUAAGUAGACAAAUGUAUCCAAUUAUUAAAAAUGAUAUUUUUUCUUUCACACAAAGGGUUUAUACUGUAUACACUGCUCUGAAUCUUGCUGUUUUCUUUUCUUCCUUUAAAGCUCGUCAAAUUUAGCAGUGGGGGAGGUUGACUGCAUCUUGCUUUUUUCACUUAACUGUAUCUUGGAGAUGGCUCUACAUCAGUACAUAUCUGAUCUGUUUUAGCAGUGUGUGGUAUCCCAUUAUUUAGAUGUGCCAUCGUUUUAUCAGGCCGCCUUCAACCCCUUUGCUAUUGGAGGAGUGCCACAAUAAACGUGCUAAUGCUGCUUCCUGGUGCCCUUGUGCAAAUAUAACUGGGAUAAUUUCCUGAAGAGAACUUGCUCGGUCAAAGGGUAUGGUGCUUGUCAUCUUGAUAAAUACUGCCAAACAGCUCUCCACUCCUGCCAGCAAUAUGUGACACACAGCUGUGCCAAUGCCAUCUGUUAGCAAAUGUUUUCUCUUUGCCAAUCUGAUAAAUAAAAAAUGGUAUCUUGCUAAAUGUAGCCGCCUGAAUUGGAUCCUGGGACAGAUAAAAGAUAUUUAUGGAAAAACAGGCAAAAUCUGAAUGAAGUCUCAAAUUCAGUUAAUAGUAAUGUGCAAAUGUUGGUUUCUUAGUUUUGACACAUGCGCUGUGCCUAGGUGAGAUGUUAACAUCAGGAGACAGAGCUACACAGAACUGUACUAUUUUUGCAAUGUUUCUGUACAUCUAAAAUUAUCCCCAAAACUUUAGUUUAAAAAUGGUAUCUUGUUACAUGUAAAAUUUGCAUCUCUCUUAUUAUGAGUAAAAUGGAGCAUCUUGACUAUGAUGCUCUUUUUAAAGGCAGACUUAGUAAUUGUAUUCAUUGAGGAAAAAAGUCAGUUUAUUCACUGUUUAAAAAUUUGUUAGAGUGCUUUUUAAACUCCUAACAUCUAAUACUGUGCUCUUAUCCUCUUAUAUUAAUAUGCAACUUCAGUAUUCCUUUUGAGUCAGAUCUCAUUCUGUUGCCAGGUUAGAGUGCAGUGGUGUCAUCACAGCUCACUGUAGCCUUAGACUCCUGGGCUCAAGUGAUCCUCCUGCUCACUCUCCAGAGUAGCUGAGACUACAGGCACCUACCACACCAGUUAAUUUUUCUAUUUUUAGUAGAGACAGGUUCUCACUCUUGCUCAGGUUGGUCUAGAACUCCUGACCUCAAGAGAUUCUCCUACCUUACCUCCCAAAGUGUUAUGAUUAUAGGCAAGAGCCAUCACACCACACCCAGCCAACUUCAAUAUUUUUGACUCUGGUUGUGCAGUUUCACUCUACAGGAUCUUAUAUUUCAACCAUAGAAGUCAUGCACACAUAUCACAUGAAACAAUAUAGGGAUGUAUAAAGAAAAGUUAAACCCCACCUGGCCGGCGUGGUGGCUCAUGCCUGUAAUCCCAGCACUCUGGGAGACUGGGGUGGGUGGAUUGCUUGAGCUCAGGAGUUCAAGACCAACUUGAGCUAGAGCGAGACCUAUCUCUGAAAAAUAGCCAGGUGUUGUGGUUGGCACCUGUAGUCCCAGCUACUUGGGAGGUUGAGGCAAGAGGCUGACUUGAGCCUAAGAAUUUGAGGUUGCUGGGCUGGGCGCGGUGGCUCACGCCUGUAAUCCUAGCACUCUGGGAGGCUGAGGAGGGUGGAUUGCCUGAGCUCAUGAAUUCAAGACCAGCCUGAGCAAAUGCUUGAGCUCAUGAGAUCGAGACUAGCCUGAGCAAGAGCAAGACCCUGUUUCUACAGAAAGUAUAAAAAUAAUUAACUGGGUAUGAUGGCAGGCACCUGCAGUCCCUGCUUCUCAGGAGGCUGAGGUGGGAGAAUUGCUUGAGUCCGAGAGCUUGAGGUUGCUAUGGGUUAUGAUGACACUGCACUCUAGGCUGGGGGACAGAGUGAGACUGUUUCAAAAUAAGAC